rnacentral:rRNA from 1 species
AGAGUUUGAUCCUGGCUCAGAUUGAACGCUGGUGGCAUGCUUAACACAUGCAAGUCGAACGGUAACAGACUACGACAAUCCCUUCGGGGUGCGUCAUGUGCUGACGAGUGGCGGACGGGUGAGUAAUGCGUAGGAAUCUGCCCAGUAGCGGGGGACAACUCGGAGAAAUCCGAGCUAAUACCGCAUAAGCCUUACGAGGGAAAGAUGGCCUCUUCUUGAAAGCUAUCACUAUUGGAUGAGCCUACGUCGGAUUAGCUUGUUGGUGGGGUAAUGGCCUACCAAGGCGACGAUCCGUAGCUGGUCUGAGAGGAUGAUCAGCCACACUGGGACUGAGACACGGCCCAGACUCCUACGGGAGGCAGCAGUGGGGAAUAUUGGACAAUGGGGGCAACCCUGAUCCAGCAAUGCCGCGUGUGUGAAGAAGGCCUUCGGGUUGUAAAGCACUUUCAAUUGAGAAGAAAGCUUUAAGGUUAAUACCCUUGAAGUUUGACGGUAUCUUUAGAAGAAGCACCGGCUAACUCCGUGCCAGCAGCCGCGGUAAU